UGAUACGAUUAGUCUUUUGGAAGCUUCGUAAAACUUUCAGUUCUGAGAGCAAGUUCAGAUCUGGACCGGUAUUUCCACGAGGUGGUACUGCAUUGAGCUCUAAGUGCGUAAAGUUAACUUACGAGAUAACCAAAUAAGGUAAGUUGACGUAGAGAAGGCGCGUAGGGAUGCAAAGCGGCCAGUGGAUGAUGUUUAGAAAUAGAAUCAGCUGUUGAGAAAUUACAGUAAUGGAUUGAAUUUCGAGGAGAGAAGAGGGGUUUAGGAAAAGGAAGGUGAAAGACAAGGAAGAAUAAUAUGGACGUUCUGGAAGAACAGAAUCUAAGAAAGCAGUAGUACAAAAGCUGUGAUGGAAAGAGAAGACGAGAUUAAGAAUAUUGUUGUAACCAUUCACUAUAUUGUUGAGUUGUUUUAAAUUGUAAAAAUGGGCACAAUCGCGAAUAAUGCUGGAGGGUGAAGGAGUCAAAAGAGAGGUGUGGCAGUCAGUAAUAGAGGAAAGCUAGGCAUCUAGAGGAAGGUUAUAUGAAUGUGAAAAGUUAGAAAUAUAGUAAUCACCUGCUAUAAUGAAAUCAGCGCAGGGAAAAUAGUUGAAGAGAUUUUUGACAGAGUGGCAGUGGUGCUGGUUAUGAGUGUGCGAGGAUUGUGGGAAAUGUAAACAGAGCCUGUCCUUGAGCCGAGCCGUAAUGUUACAAAAAGUUGUUCAGUUGGAUCAGAUGUGAAUCCAAUUUGACAUAAAAAGCAUCAUCUACCGCAGCGAAAUAUAUUGUAGGAUGACAAACCGAGUUCUGUUCUGGAAAUACUAGCAUGCAGCCAGUAAAGAUAAUUAUAUCGUAGGAAUGGGGAAGACUAGAGGAAAGAGAUAGCACGGCACUUAGUUUCUUAGUUGGAAAGAAGACGAUACUGUGACAAUUUUUGGAACUCCAUGAACGUAUCGAGUUGUUUUAUUUGUGAAACCAGAGUGAUGUAAAGCCUUUAGUUCUGCACGUAGCUUCGUGUCAAGUCCUGAUAAAGUUUUGGAUGGCCCUUUGUAACGAUUCUUCUGGCGUAGAGACGAUGUACUAUGUAGUCCACGAUCAAUAAACUACCCAUGGGCCCAGGGAUGCCCUUUUCUUCCGACACGCUUAGAAUAAGGUUUGAUAUCACAAGUUGUACAAAUCAGUGUAGAUGCUACAGGUGCUCUACAGCCUUUGCAAAUCAAUGCAGAAAACGAUUUCGACGUAGUUGAAACCGUUCAGUUCGAGUGCAAUCGAACUAGUUGACACGACGUUGAAUAUGACGAAUUUGCGACGAUCAAAGUAAUUGGAAAUUGUCAUUUCGUUUUGCGUUCAUUGAAAUAAUUUUUUGAUUUGCAAUACUAAUGUUGAAACCUUACUAUGUUACCAACUCGAAACAUUAAACGUUCACGCGAAGAAUAGCGGGAUAAAUUACAGUAUUUUGUUGGAAAAUGCAUUAUGCAAACGCAUCCACAAGGCAUUAUGCAAAUGGCUAACGAGUUUGCUUUGUACAGUCAACAGCAAUAAUUAAUCAGCGCUCGAUCAAUACCAUAACAUCAUUCUUAUUUUACACCGGCGAUUAAUUCGAAUCGGUAAUGUAACCAUUUUGCAGCACGUAAUUGCAACAUUUCCGUGGCGAAUAUGUCCGAAGUUUAAUUAAAAUUUAAACUUCUCCGGCCCAAAGACGAGCAAAUUGAAUGCGAAACGGUAUGUGAUUUCCAAUUCACACCGUAACGAAUCUUCGGCAGUAGUUGUGGACAAAAGCGUGGUACCCGUAGCCGCAAACGCGGCAUAAAUAUCUGUAAAUUACCAGCUAGUAAUAAUUACCUAGCUGCUAAAAAGCUGGUAAUUUAUAAUAUUGUUGACAU